GUGCCAGCCGCCGCGGUAAUACGUAGGGUCCGAGCGUUGUCCGGAAUUAUUGGGCGUAAAGAGCUCGUAGGCGGUUUGUCGCGUCUGCUGUGAAAUCUCCAGGCUCAACCUGGAGCCUGCAGUGGGUACGGGCAGACUUGAGUGCGGUAGGGGAGAAUGGAAUUCCUGGUGUAGCGGUGGAAUGCGCAGAUAUCAGGAGGAACACCGAUGGCGAAGGCAGUUCUCUGGGCCGUAACUGACGCUGAGGAGCGAAAGCGUGGGGAGCGAACAGGAUUAGAUACCCUGGUAGUCC
rnacentral:rRNA from 1 species